rnacentral:rRNA from 1 species
ACACGGAUAACCUUGCCAACCGCAAGGCUAAUACGUGACGUAGAUACUCUCCUUUGGAGAGUAGCGUAAGGUGCGGCGUGAAAGCGGCCUUACAUGACUGGACUUCGGUUCAGUCGGCAGACCUUAAGAGGAUUUAGGUGGGCAAUUCGAUUGUCCACUGACUAAAGGCUGAGCAGACAGCUUUCUAACCCAUUAGCUGGUUGUGAAGGUAGCGGCUUCACAAGGCAGCCAUGGGUACGGGGAAUCAGCGUUCGAUUCCGGAGAGAAAGCCUGAGACACGGCUAUCACAUCUAAGGAAGGCAGCAGGCGCGCAAAUUACCCAAUGCAAAUUCUGCGAGGUAGUGAACAGCCAUAGUGACCUGCCCACAAUGUGGGCAGGGAGGCCCUAGGCCUAGCAAUGAGUGAUGCUUAAAGCAUGUCACGAUCAACUAGUAGAGGACCAGUCUGGUGCCAGCACCCGCGGUAACUCCAGCUCUGCUAGCCUAUGAUAAUACUGUUGUCUUUAGAACGUUCGUAGCCCGCCUAGGUUUUGCAGAGAAUUGCUUGUGUGAUGCACUCAGAACGUUGCUUGACUCAGUCAAGCAAUGAUCUGAGCCAGCUGAUCACCUCGGCAGGAAAACAACUUCGGUUGUCUACUGUAAGUGGUUCUUUGUAAGACGCGGCGAUAUCGCUAGUAAAUGGGAAUGCUUAAGGUAGGCGAAGUGAGUUUCGGCUCACCAGCCUGCACUUCAUAGAGUGACACAUCUUUGAAGCCUACUGCUUCGGCAGUAGGCGUGAGUAAUGAGGAAGACUCAGGCAAGGAGUACUGGUUGGAUAGGGGUGAAAUCCAAUGACCCAACCAUGACUAUCUGAGGCGAAGGCGCCUUGCUAGAGCUCACCUGUCGGCGAUGGACGAGAGUGAAGGGCGCGAAGAUGAUUAGAUACCGUUGUAGUCUUCACUGUAAACGAUGCUAGCUCGGUCGAGCAAUCUCACCUAAGCGAAGAUUGCUCGGCCCAAGGGAAACUAUUAAGCUCUUCAGCUAGAGGGGUAGUACUGUUGCAAGGCAGAAACUUAAAGGAAUUGACGGAAAAGCACCACCAGGCGUGGAGUCUGCGGCUUAAUUCGACUCAACACGGGAAACCUUACCAGAACAGCACACUGAAUGGAUUGUCAGCUUACCGAGCUUACUUGAUACUGUGGAUAGUGGUGCAUGGCCAUUCUUAGUUCGUGAAGUGAUUUGUCUCCUUGAUUGAGGUAACGAGCGAGACCCUGAAGGGCUGUUGAGAACUCGCAGUUCAACUGUGAGGAGUGCAGCUUUGCUGCCAUCUCCUACCCUGAUUACCAGCGCCUAGCUGGAAGAGACAGGACAAUAAUAGGUCUGUUAUGCCCUUAGAUGCUCUGGGAUGCACGCGUACUACACUGACAUUCGCAACGAGUAUAGUGGUCGAUUACUUCGGUUUUCGAUCUUGCUGCACUGAGAAGUGUGGCGAAGCUAUAAUGGAUGUCUCGGUAAGGAUUGCUGCCUGCAAGGGCAGCAUGAAUGAGGAAUGCCUUGUAAGCGCGCUUCAGCAUAGCGCAUUGAAUACGUCCCUGCUUUUUGUACACACCGCCCGUCGCAUCAAGGAACUUAAUUGAGGCAAUGAGGCUGUUGGACGAGAGGAAAACAGCCGAAUAGCCUUAAUCUUACCAUGAUGAAGUCGUAACAAGGUAUCC